AACGCAAAUUGCGCCUUCUUUCGGAGGGCAUGUCUGUUUGAGGGCACCAUUUAACAAAUAAUGUGCGCGUCGUUUUUACGAGCGACGUGCACACGUUGAUGAGCUUUUCCGAAAAAACCAGGUUUUUUUGGUGGCGCAUAAUGAACAGCGUGGGCUUUUUCUUCGAUUCUCGUGUAGUAAAUCUUCAACGCUUGGGUUGAGAAAAAGUGCGUGCCGCGCAAUGGGUGUGGCGAAUUUUACCCCUGCCCCAAUGCCACUCUUUCCCUGCGAAAGAACAAUUUUUAUUCAGGGCCUCAAAUCAGACAAGAGUACCCGCUGAACUUAA
rnacentral:misc_RNA from 1 species